rnacentral:lncRNA from 1 species
UCACCAGCCAGAUGCCCAAGGGGGUCCUGAACAUGAGCCUUACUCCAUCACAGGGGACACACACAUUCGACCCAGUCACAAAGAUGCUGUCUUGGGAUGUAGGAAAAAUAAAUCCACAAAAGCUACCAAGUUUGAAGGGGACCAUGAGUCUUCAGGCUGGAGCUUCCAAACCAGAUGAAAACCCCACAAUUAACCUGCAGUUUAAGAUCCAGCAGCUGGCCAUUUCUGAAGACUUUCAUGUUUGCUCUUAUUUCUAUUUUGGAACCACUGGGCCUUUCCAGGACUCAAGGUGAAUCGUCUGGAUAUGUAUGGAGAAAAGUACAAACCCUUUAAGGGCAUAAAAUACAUGACCAAAGCUGGGAAGUUCCAAGUUCGAACCUGAAGGGAGCAUUUGCUGAGGGAAUAGUCUUGCACAUUUUUUCAUUUCUUACUUGUCUAAAAGUAAAAAAAAAUAUCAGCCUG